rnacentral:rRNA from 1 species
AUGCACGCUGACAGAAUGCUUCACCCAUGCAAGUCAACUUGAAUUUGGGUUUUUAACUUAGGUUUGGGUGGCGGACGGGUGAGUAACGCGUAAAGAACUUGCCUCACAGCUAGGGACAACAUUUGGAAACGAAUGCUAAUACCUAAUAUUAUGAUAAUAGGGCAUCCUAUAAUUAUGAAAGCUAUAAGCGCUGUGAGAGAGCUUUGCGUCCCAUUAGCUAGUUGGAGAGGUAACGGCUCACCAAGGCGAUGAUGGGUAGCCGGCCUGAGAGGGUGAUCGGCCACAAGGGGACUGAGACACGGCCCUUACUCCUACGGGAGGCAGCAGUGGGGAAUAUUGGACAAUGGACCAAGAGUCUGAUCCAGCAAUUCUGUGUGCACGAUGAAGUUUUUCGGAAUGUAAAGUGCUUUCAGUUGGGAAGAAAGAAAUGACGGUACCAACAGAAGAAGUGACGGCUAAAUACGU